rnacentral:rRNA from 1 species
CCUAAGACAUGCAAGUCGAACGAGAAGGCCCAAAGAAACAGAGUGCUUGCACGAUGUAGGAUUUGGAUUCCCGUCUAGUGGCGCAAGGGUGAGUAACACGUGGGUAAUCUACCUUCGAGUCUGGAAUAACAGUUAGAAAUGAUUGCUAAUGCCGGAUGAUAUAUAAGAAGAUACGUCAUCUUAUAUUAAAAGGAGCCUUUAAAGCUUCGCUUGAAGAUGAGCCUGCGGCGUAUUAGCUAGUUGGUGAGGUAAUGGCUUACCAAGGCGACGAUGCGUAGCCGACCUGAGAGGGUGAUCGGCCACACUGGGACUGAGACACGGCCCAGACUCCUACGGGAGACAGCAGUUAGGAAUAUUCGUCAAUGGAGGAAACUCUGAACGAGCAAUGCCGCGUGAAGGAUGACGGUCCUAUGGAUUGGUAAACUUCUGUUGUUAGGGAAGAACGACCUAGGUAGGAAAUGACCUAGGAGUGACGGUACCUUCAAGAAGCUCCGGCUAACUACGUG